CCUACGGGAGGCUGCAGUGGGGAAUAUUGGACAAUGGGCGAAAGCCUGAUCCAGCCAUGCCGCGUGUGUGAAGAAGGCCUUCGGGUUGUAAAGCACUUUCAGUGGGGAAGAAAGCCUUGGGGCUAAUACCCUCGAGGAAGGACAUCACCCACAGAAGAAGCACCGGCUAACUCCGUGCCAGCAGCCGCGGUAAUACGGAGGGUGCGAGCGUUAAUCGGAAUUACUGGGCGUAAAGCGCGCGUAGGCGGUCUGAUAAGCCGGUUGUGAAAGCCCCGGGCUCAACCUGGGAACGGCAUCCGGAACUGUCAGGCUAGAGUGCAGGAGAGGAAGGUAGAAUUCCCGGUGUAGCGGUGAAAUGCGUAGAGAUCGUGAGGAAUACCAGUGGCGAAGGCGGCCUUCUGGACUGACACUGACGCUGAGGUGCGAAAGCGUGGGUAGCAAACAGGAUUAGAUACCCGAGUAGUC
rnacentral:rRNA from 1 species